rnacentral:rRNA from 1 species
UACCAGCACCCCGAGUGGUCGGGACGUUUAUUGGGCCUAAAGCAUCCGUAGCCGGUUCUACAAGUCUUCCGUUAAAUCCACCUGCUUAACAGAUGGGCUGCGGAAGAUACUAUAGAGCUAGGAGGCGGGAGAGGCAAGCGGUACUCGAUGGGUAGGGGUAAAAUCCGUUGAUCCAUUGAAGACCACCAGCGGCGAAGGCGGCUUGCCAGAACGCGCUCGACGGUGAGGGAUGAAAGCUGGGGGAGCAAACCGGG